rnacentral:rRNA from 1 species
UACGUAGGGUGCAAGCGUUAAUCGGAAUUACUGGGCGUAAAGCGUGCGCAGUCGGUUUUGUAAGUCUGAUGUGAAAUCCCCGGGCUCAACCUGGGAAUUGCAUUGGAGACUGCAAGGCUAGAAUCUGGCAGAGGGGGGUAGAAUUCCACGUGUAGCAGUGAAAUGCGUAGAGAUGUGGAGGAACACCGAUGGCGAAGGCAGCCCCCUGGGUCAAGAUUGACGCUCAUGCACGAAAGCGUGGGGAGCAAACAGG